rnacentral:rRNA from 1 species
AACGAACGCUGGCGGCAGGCCUAACACAUGCAAGUCGAGCGCACCUUCGGGUGAGCGGCGGACGGGUUAGUAACGCGUGGGAAUAUGCCCUUCACUACGGAAUAGCCUCGGGAAACUGAGAGUAAUACCGUAUACGCCCUUCGGGGGAAAGAUUUAUCGGUGAAGGAUUAGCCCGCGUCUGAUUAGAUAGUUGGUGGGGUAACGGCCUACCAAGUCUACGAUCAGUAGCUGGUUUGAGAGGAUGAUCAGCAACACUGGGACUGAGACACGGCCCAGACUCCUACGGGAGGCAGCAGUGGGGAAUCUUAGACAAUGGGCGCAAGCCUGAUCUAGCCAUGCCGCGUGAGUGACGAAGGCCUUAGGGUCGUAAAGCUCUUUCGCCAAAGAUGAUAAUGACAGUAUCUGGUAAAGAAACCCCGGCUAACUCCGUGCCAGCAGCCGCGGUAAUACGGAGGGGGUUAGCGUUGUUCGGAAUUACUGGGCGUAAAGCGUACGUAGGCGGAUUGGAAAGUUGGGGGUGAAAUCCCGGGGCUCAACCCCGGAACUGCCUCCAAAACUAUCAGUCUAGAGUUCGAGAGAGGUGAGUGGAAUUCCAAGUGUAGAGGUGAAAUUCGUAGAUAUUUGGAGGAACACCAGUGGCGAAGGCGGCUCACUGGCUCGAUACUGACGCUGAGGUACGAAAGUGUGGGGAGCAAACAGGAUUAGAUACCCUGGUAGUCCACACCGUAAACGAUGAAUGCCAGACGUCGGGGGGCUUGCCCUUCGGUGUCACACCUAACGGAUUAAGCAUUCCGCCUGGGGAGUACGGUCGCAAGAUUA